GGGCACAGAUUCAUUUCUACAGUACAACAAUUAGGCUAGCAUGUAUAAUAUAAGAUCUAUUACAGAUUAUUCAAAGAAGUAGAAGAAGAGAAUGAAGGAAAAUCCAGAAAAAAAACAAAACAACUUGUAUUCAAUCCGGCUUCAACUCGAAGUACAUGUUCUUAGUCACUCGUUGACAAUGAUUUGAAGUAAUACCUGGUAAUGAACAAGGAAAACAAAAGAUGUGAAGAAUCAGCAACACGCAGUAGCAGAAAUCAAGUUAGCCCAAUAAUGAAACAGUAACAUAAUCAACAAGUCAAGCCUCAGAUUUUCAAACCUAAAUUUUGAUGUUCAAAAAUCCAAAUACACCAUUUCUGCUGAACCCUUUCAAAUCUGACUUCUCACAAGGGAAUUAAAACUUGAAAUUAAGCAGGAAACUUAACAAUUCCAGUAUUGUUUUUAAAAAAGGACUUCAGCCAUUUUCAAUUUUUGCAGAUUUUUCUUUCUUCAAAUCUUUUCAGCUCUCCAAUCUCUUAGG
rnacentral:lncRNA from 1 species